rnacentral:rRNA from 1 species
UACGUAGGGACCAAGCGUUGUCCGGAAUUACUGGGCGUAAAGUGUGCGCAGGCGGCCGCGCAAGUCGAGUGUGAAAUCCCCGAGCUUAACUUGGGAAUUGCGCUCGAAACUACGUGGCUGGAGUGUGGCAGAGGAAGGUGGAAUUCCACGUGUAGCGGUGAAAUGCGUAGAUAUGUGGAGGAACACCGAUGGCGAAGGCAGCCUUCUGGGCCAACACUGACGCUCAUGCACGAAAGCGUGGGGAGCAAACAGG